rnacentral:rRNA from 1 species
AUUGAACGCUGGCGGCAUGCCUUACACAUGCAAGUCGAACGGCAGCGGACCUUCGGGUGCCGGCGAGUGGCGAACGGGUGAGUAAUAUAUCGGAACGUACCUUUCAGUGGGGGAUAACGUAGCGAAAGUUACGCUAAUACCGCAUAUUCUGUGAGCAGGAAAGCAGGGGAUCGCAAGACCUUGCGCUGAUUGAGCGGCCGAUAUCAGAUUAGCUAGUUGGUGAGGUAAAGGCUCACCAAGGCGACGAUCUGUAGCGGGUCUGAGAGGAUGAUCCGCCACACUGGAACUGAGACACGGUCCAGACUCCUACGGGAGGCAGCAGUGGGGAAUCUUGCGCAAUGGGGGAAACCCUGACGCAGCAACGCCGCGUGGGUGAUGAAGGCCCUUGGGUCGUAAAGCCCUGUCUGGAGGAAAGAAUCCCGCUCUCGCUAAUACCGGGAGUGGAUCGACGGUACCUCUGAAGGAACGCACCGGC